UCCAUUGUUGUUCUUGUGCUUUCCAGAUGAUCUUCAAACUGACACACCUGGACUUGCAUCACUGGCUCAUGGUGUUGAAGAUAUCUUUGCCCGUCAUCUUUCUGGAUGAAUGUCUCAAAUUCGUUGCCCGGAACUAUCUGGAGCCAUAAACUCCUUCCCCCUCUAUUCUCCUGUAUCCUGCCUCCCAGACAAUAUAGAAGGAAAGAAGUGAACACUUGAGUCAUCAUGGAAAUAACCACGUCGUUCCCCCCAACCGUCAAGAUCUGCCCAUUUCCCAGACCCCACUGUCUUGUCUUCGGCCCCGCCUCUGCUCCUCUGCCCCUCUGUUAUUUAAUAGUGUCUCUCUUUCCCUUUAACCCCUCUGCUAGUGUGAUUGCUAGUGUGGGCCACAGUGCUGGCAUUUGCCAUGCCAUGUUCCCUGCCAGCUGCUUCUCUACCCAACCCACAAACCUCACCUGCGACUCGGCUUCUGUACAUUUUGAGCCACCUGCCUGUCCUUGCCUUUGCACACGCAAGCUCACGCGCAUACACAUGCACACAUACCGUCCCAAGUGCUUUCCGCAUUAGUGACCACACUAUGUUCGUUUCCCCCUCCCUCCCUCUUCUUAUGACUAGAACCCACCUCAAGCCCAGGACUGGAUUUUUUAAUGCACACAUAAACAGAAGGAAACAUUUUGUUAGGAAAAACGAACAAAUGAAACUCCUCAACUUGGAGGAAAUGAAGAGAUUCUUCUAGCUGCUUAUUUAUUGAUAUUAAAGAAUAAACUCUUAACUGUAUUAAAAA